UUUCCGUAGGUGAACCUGCGGAAGGAUCAUUAUUGUAUAACCGAGGUGCGAGGGCUGUCGCUGACCCGAAAGGUCGUGCACGCCCGAGUGUGUCCUCUUGCAUAAUAAUCCAUCUCACCCUUUGUGCAUCACCGCGUGGGCACCCUUCGGGAUCAUCUCGGAGGGGGGCUCGCGUUUUCACACAAACCCCCCUUUUAAAAGUGUAGAAUGACCACAUUUAUGCAAUCAAUACAACUUUCAACAACGGAUCUCUUGGCUCUC
rnacentral:misc_RNA from 1 species